AGCGAACGCUGGCGGCGUACUUAACACAUGCAAGUCGAACGAGGAUCAUCGGGUUAGCAAUAAUUCGGUGGUCCUAGUGGCGCACGGGUGAGUAACACGUGGGUGACCUGCCCUUGAGCUCGGGAUACCCCCUCGAAAGGGGGACGUAAUACCGGAUACGUUCCUCGGUCGAAAGACUGAGGAGGAAAGGUGGCGCAAGCUGCCGCUCUUGGAGGGGCGUCGCGGCCUAUCAGCUAGUUGGCGGGGGUAACGGCCCACCAAGGCUAUGACGGGUAGCUGGUCUGAGAGGACGGACCAGCCACACGGGGACGUGAGACACGGCCCCGACUCCUACGGGAGGCAGCAGUGGGGAAUUUUCCGUCAAUGGGCGAAAGACCUGACGGAGUGACGCCGCGUGUGGGACGAAGGCCUCGGUCGUAACCAC
rnacentral:rRNA from 1 species